GAUCACUGCUAUUGGAGUUCGCUUAAGCCAUGCGAGUCGAGAGGGUUCGGCCCUCGGCAUACGGCUCAGUAACACGUGGAUAAUCUGCCCUGAGGUGGGGGAUAAUCUCGAGAAAUUGAGGAUAAUACCCCAUAGAUCAGAUCUUCUGGAGUGCCUUCUGGUUGAAAGCUCCGGCGCCUCAGGAUGAGUCUGCGGCCUAUCAGGUUGUAGUGAGUGUAACGGACUCACUAGCCGACGACGGGUACGGGCAGUGAGAGCUGUCGCCCGGAGAUGGACUCUGAGACACGAGUCCAGGCCCUACGGGGCGCAGCAGGCGCGAAAACUUCACAAUGCGGGAAACCGCGAUGAGGGAACUCCAAGUGUCUAGGCAUUGCUUAGACUGUUUUCUAGUCUAAAAAACUAGGAGAGUAAGGGCUGGGUAAGACUGGUGCCAGCCGCCGCGGUAAUACCAGCAGCUCAAGUGGUGAUUCUUUUUAUUGGGCCUAAAGCGUCCGUAGCCUGUCUGGUAAAUCCUUGGGUAAAUCGUACCGCUCAACGGUACGACUUCUGGGGAGACUGCUAGACUUGGGACUGGGAGAGGUCGGAGGUACUCCUGGGGUAGGGGUGAAAUCCUGUAAUCCCAGGGGGACCACCAGUGGCGAAGGCGUCCGACUAGAACGGAUCCGACGGUGAGGGACGAAGCCGUGGGGCACAAACCGGAUUAGAUACCCGGGUAGUCCACGGUGUAAACGCUGCGAGCUUGGUGUUGGGGGUCCUACGAGGGCGCCCAGUGCCGGAGAGAAGUUGUUAAGCUCGCCGCCUGGGGAGUACGAUCGCAAGAUUGAAACUUAAAGGAAUUGGCGGGGGAGCACCGCAACGGGUGGAGCGUGCGGUUC
rnacentral:rRNA from 1 species